CCUACGGGAGGCAGCAGUGGGGGAUAUUGCGCAAUGGGCGAAAGCCUGAUGCAGCGACGCCGCGUGGGCGAAGAAGUAUUUCGGUAUGUAAAGCUCUAUCGGCAGGGAAGAAGAAAUGAAGGUACCUGCGUAAGAAGCACCGGCUAAAUACGUGCCAACAGCCGCGGUAAUACGUAUGUUGGAAGCGUUCUCCGUAUUUACUGGGGGUAAAGGGAGCGCAGCCGGACUGACAAGCCCGAGGUGAAAGCCUGCGGCCCAACCGCGGGACUGCAGUGGAAACUACCGAGCUUGAGUUCCGGAGAGGGAGGCGGAAUUCCUAGUGUAGCGGUGAAAUGCGUAGAUAUUAGGAGGAACACCAGUGGCGAAGGCGGCCUACUGGACGGUAACUGACGCUGAGGCUCGAAAGCGUGGGGAGCAAACAGGAUUAGAUACCCGAGUAGUC
rnacentral:rRNA from 1 species